GACGAACGCUGGCGGCGUGCUUAACACAUGCAAGUCGAACGGAAAGGCCCUGCUUUUGUGGGGUGCUCGGGUGGCGAACGGGUGAGUAACACGUGAGUAACCUGCCCUUGACUUUGGGAUAACUUCAGGAAACUGGGGCUAAUACCGGAUAGGAGCUCCUGCUGCAUGGUGGGGGUUGGAAAGUUUCGGCGGUUGGGGAUGGACUCGCGGCUUAUCGGCUUGUUGGUGGGGGAGUGGCUUACCAAGGCGUUGACGGGUAGCCGGCCUGAGAGGGUGAACGGCCACAUUGCGACUGAGAUACGGCCCAGACUCCUACGGGAGGCAGCAGUGGGGAAUAUUGUACAAUGGGCGGAAGUCUGAUGCAGCAACGCCGCGUGCGGGAUGACGGCCUUCUGGUUGUAAACCGCUUUCGCCUGUGACGAAGCGUGAGUGACGGUAAUGGGUAAAGAAGCACCGGCUAACUACGUG
rnacentral:rRNA from 1 species